rnacentral:rRNA from 1 species
GAGGAAUAUUGCACAAUGGGGGGAACCCUGAUGCAGCAACGCCGCGUGGAGGAUGACGCAUUUCGGUGUGUAAACUCCUUUUAUAUGUCAAGAAAAUGACGGUAGCAUAUGAAUAAGCACCGGCUAACUCCGUGCCAGCAGCCGCGGUAAUACGGAGGGUGCAAGCGUUACUCGGAAUCACUGGGCGUAAAGGACGCGUAGGCUGUUUUGCAAGUCAGAUGUGAAAUCCAAUGGCUCAACCAUUGAACUGCAUUUGAAACUGCUAGACUAGAGUAUGGGAGGGGGAGAUGGAAUUAGUGGUGUAGGGGUAAAAUCCGUAGAUAUCACUAGGAAUACCUAAAGCGAAGGCGAUCUCCUGGAACAUUACUGACGCUAAGGCGUGAAAGCGUGGGGAGCAAAC